UACGAGGGGGGCGAGCGUUGUUCGGAAUUACUGGGCGUAAAGGGCGCGUAGGCGGCAUGACAAGUCACUUGUGAAAUCUCCGGGCUUAACUCGGAACGGCCAAGUGAUACUGUCAAGCUAGAGUGCAGAAAGGGCAAUCGGAAUUCUUGGUGUAGCGGUGAAAUGCGUAGAUAUCAAGAGGAACACCUGAGGCGAAGGCGGGUUGCUAGGCUGACACUGACGCUGACAGCGCGAAAGCCAGGGGAGCAAACGGG
rnacentral:rRNA from 1 species